UCGAGACGGCGGGGUAGAGGCCCGCCGCGGUAACGACGGGUACGGGGAAUCAGGGUUCGAUUCCGGAGAGGGAGCCCGAGAAACGGCUACCACUUCCAAGGAAGGCAGCAGGCGCGCAACUUACCCUAAUCUCGAUUCGAGGAGGUAGUGACAAGAAUACCGAUGCGGGACCCUACGGGUGCCGCGUUCGGAAUGAGUACGAUUCGAACCACCUAACGAGGAACGAUCGGAGGGCAAGUCUGGUGCCAGCAGCCGCGGUAAUUCCAGCUCCAAUAGCGUACGUUAAAAGUUGCUGCAGUUAAAAAGCUCGUAGUUGAACGUUCGGGUUCCGCGGGACGGGGCCGCCCCGCGAGGGACGGCGCCGCCCCGGGGCUCGUGAUAUCUCAUCUCGCCGCCCGUCGCGAGGCGGACGGAGGGAUGGAUGAGGUUACCUGGAAAAAAUCGGGGCGAUCUAGGCGGGCGAACCUCGCCAACGAACGAUCGGACAUGGGAUAACGGAAGAGGGCGUCGGCUCGACUUCGUCGGUUCCUCGGGCCGAGGCACGUACGGUGAAUAGGGAC
rnacentral:rRNA from 1 species